ACUGUGGAUAGUGGUAAAUCUGCCUUAUCCAUUCUCAUAUAUUAUUCCUUUUGUCUUCUGUAUAUCCAAAACAUGUGUAUGUCCAGGCGUUGCAAUAUACAGUAAUGCAUUAUUGGUCAUGAUAUUAAAAUCUCAUUCUCAUAAAUUAAAUCAAAGAUUUUAAUCCAACCCCAGAAGUAGUUUUUCCUUCUGUAAAAUGAUUGGAGGUACUGUAUAAGCGCGUACACCCAAAAUAACAUACAUUGCAU